CUGCUUUCUUCAGCAGCACAUACUCUAAAAUUAAAAUGAUACUGUGGAUUAGCAUGGCUCCUGCCCAAGGAUGACACACAGAUUCAUGAAGUAUUCCAUAUUUUG